rnacentral:ncRNA from 1 species
GCAAAGGCUAUGAUGGGGAUGAGUAGGCGGAAGAACCUUUUAGAGAGCGGGGAACAGGUGCAAGCCCUGCAGGGAGGACCGUUCGAACAUGGCUCCGGAGCCGCCGGUUCGAAGCAAGGGAAGGCUUGCUGUAGGGCCGGACGGUAGGGCACCGUUACGCGCUUUUAAGUGUUUUACACUUGCUGAGGCCGUUUACUGCAAAGGAACGGCAAAUCAGGGUGGUACCGCGGGAUUUACCCCGCCCCUGCC